AUGGAGGACGAAAUGUCCAGCUCGGUUGCUUGGCAGAUAGGGAGGAGGAAGCCUGAGGACCUGGAUGAAAAUUUUAGCUGUGUUGACCUCGGAGAAUCUCAGCGUGUCCUUGUUAUGCUCCGUACUAGUUGUAGACUCCAGAACAAGAAACGGAUCCUCUGUUUUUACGGAAAAAGUCAGUUGGUGGAAUCCAUUGCCCCCUCGAAGAACAGCUUCCUCAUUUUUCUCCUCCCUGAAAUCAUCAUGGGUGUGGCCGGAUGGGGCGAUUCUGCCACCUUCCUCAUCAGGAAUCCCAGGAGUAAUGGAACCUGGCAAGGAUGCGUCAGCCUCACUUGGUAAAACACUCAGAGAUGUGUGAAUCAGACCUGCCCCAAGAUCCCCUUCCUCUGCGAUUCAGAAGCCUACUUCGUAUUCUCACAGCUUCUCGUCUUCAACCAGUUUAACUCUGGGUUUUCACAGAGUAGCUGUGCACCUGGUCUAUCAGUUCCGACUCAGCUGGAGAGAAAAAUCAGGUAGAAACCUGAUUAUGAAGAGGCAGGAAUUUCCAUUCUUACUGCAUUCUUUUCCGUCGGUAAUUGAUUUGAAUUUUAACAAGUGGCAUUUUUGCUACUUUUUCUUGAGACUUAUGGGUAUAUAUGGCUGCACGAUGCUUCUAACAUCAAAUCAUCAUUGCAUUCUUGGAACGUUGUUAACUUGGUUAGGAAUUUGUCUUCCUUUAAUAGAAUUGCUAGUGUUGUAUUCAAGACUUUUUCCUUAUUUUCAUAACCCAAAUUAGACUAUAAUUUUUGUGUGUGUAAAGGGAGGAUAUCUGUGUGAUGGUUAUUUAUAAACAAGUAAGGAUACUUUCCAUAUAUUUCCUCUCUCUGUAUCUGGUAUGUUUGGAAGGAUCUAACCAAUAAAACCAUCCAUUCAGGCCCUCA
rnacentral:lncRNA from 1 species